GUCUGCCGGAAGUAGCGUGAGGGCUCAGUUUGGGACAAGUUGCUGCAGGUUUGUCUGAUCAUUGCUGCUUCAGUCAAAUCUAAACGUUCCACAACUGAAUGCAGAGAAUGUGGGACUGUAGGAGCUGACUACCGGAGCCGCCGAGCGUCUGAGCCUGAGCCGCGAGACUGUUGAACUGCGGACUUGGAGUCGGUGUCGGCCGCUGCUCCACACGGCAGUCUGUGGAGCGUCUGUCCAGGAACCGGAGAGCAAACAGAGAGAAACUGCAGCGAUGGAGGAUAAACUGGACCAUGACUCUGCGACCCGCCUCCUGCAGGGAAGAAACUCCAUCUGUUGUAAACAACGGAUUACAUACACAUUUUAUUUUUCUUAUAUAAGUGUGUGUGUGUCUGUCUGUCAACAGGGUCUAUUAUUUUAAUAAAGUGUGAGUCUGUGUCUGACUGUGUGUGUGUGUGUGUGUGUGUGUGUCAACAGGGUCUAUUAUUUUAAUAAAUUGUGUAAAGACCAGAAUUAAUCUUUCUUCUGAAUCACCACAGGUGUUCUGGAUGAGGUGGCAGAUCACAUCAGAGACCUGGAAGCCAAACUGCAGAGUGUUUCCCUGCCGUCCAGCCGUCUUCAGUCGAAUUGAUGUAUAAAUAAAGUUUGGUUGAUUUACAUG